UUAUGGCUCAGGAUGAACGCUAGCGGCAGGCUUAACACAUGCAAGUCGAGGGGCAGCGCGAGUAGCAAUACUUGGCGGCGACCGGCGCAAGGGUGCGUAACGCGUGAGCAACAUGCCCGUAUCAGGGGGAUAAUCCAGGGAAACUUGGUCUAAUACCCCAUAGUAAUUUUGUAAGGCAUCUUAUAAGAUUUAAAGCUUUGGUGGAUACGGAUUGGCUCGCGUGACAUUAGCUGGAUGGUAAGGUAACGGCUUACCAUGGCUAUGAUGUCUAGGGGUUCUGAGAGGAAGGUCCCCCACACUGGAACUGAGACACGGUCCAGACUCCUACGGGAGGCAGCAGUGAGGAAUAUUGGACAAUGGAUGGAAAUCUGAUCCAGCCAUGCCGCGUGAAGGAAGAAGGUCCUAUGGAUUGUAAACUUCUUUUGUAUGGGAGCAAUAAGGCCUACGAGUAGGUUGAUGAGAGUACCAUACGAAUAAGCACCGGCUAACUCCGUGCCAGCCGCCGC
rnacentral:rRNA from 1 species